UGUAAUUGUAAAAAUAUAUAUCCAUUGCUUGAUUUUUUUUGUUGCUCAAUUGUAAAUAUUUCAUUGAGAUUGAGAAUAAUCAGGUGUUACAAAAUGCGUUAACAAAAUAUUCGACCUAAAAAAUUUGUCCCAUGGCAAAAAAUAAUAAAAAACAUGGAAGCAAAAUCAAUCAGUAUUAGAAUCGAUGCCAUAACUAAGAAGUCAUUGUCGUCAUUCCAGUAGCGAUAUAGAUCUUGAAAACUCGAGAAAAAGUGAAGCCGAGAAAUGAUUGGAGAAAAGCAAGAAGAAGGACUUAUACAAUACAAGUGGAAGCUGUCUUGGUAGCCCGAAGCGAGAAUUCCUCAAAUGAGUCAGAGGAGGCUCGAACAAUGACAGUCCUCAACAUCAAGCUUCGACGCUCAGCUGUUAAACCUAUUUCCAGUACUCAAUGGGACAUACUAACUAGCAAAGCUUAGAUACGGUACUCACUCAAACUAAGAUCCUCCCGAUGUCGGUGAGCAGAACCAAGCAACAACAACCUCUAAAAGCCUUACUACCUGUUCCGAAAGCAAAGUCAACAAGACACAACCCAAACUAGAAGCAAACUCAAUCAACCACCCAAAGCACAACACUUACUCCAAGAAGACAAGCAAAACACACGUCGGAGGAAAGAAGAGUCGCCACACCGACAGCUUUAGCGGAAACCAAAGCGAACAUCACAACGGCGGAGCUCUGAACACCACCAGAGGGUAGAAAACUUUGCAACCGGAGAUUCUCGGAAGACCCACAUCACCACCGGAACAAAUCGCCUCCGACUAGAACAAGCCAAGGGAAGAUGACAGAAAGCACCACAACACUAGAGCCACGAAGAAGUAACCGCCGAUCUGGACUGACGGCCUAGAGACCCAUCCUCGAGGACUCCAAAAGGCACCACCAACGAGAUCGAGACAGAAAACCUCCACCAUGAGUGAAUCUAGAAGGACCGACGAAGAGCAAAGCCAAACCCCCAAGGGAGACGUCGAAAGCAACACGCCGCCCGGGAAAAGCCACUGCACAAGCCAGAGACACACCACCAUGACCCAUGACGAGAACCUCACCAACGAAACUCACCGACAUACAGAGUCAAGCCGGAGAGGAAGUCGUCACAGAGGAGAGGAGCUUUGGAUUUAACGGGAGGCGACCCUCUCGCAGCUCGCGGCAAAGCUGCCAGAGCCGGAGAGGGAGGUCGACAAGAGGAAGCGGCUAAACCUAGAUCUAGUAUUGGGAGAAAAAAUAUCGUGCGCUAUCCAUUGCUUGAUUCACAUGUUACAUGAGUCACAAAGAACAAAUAACUUAAUUUUGCAAUUGUAUAAGGAGUAAGUUGGAUGGAAUUAUGAAUUGGAUUUUUAUUAACAAAAUUAAUCAAAAAUUUAGAUAUCGGAAAAUAUCGAUGGAUGUUUUAAACAACAAUAAUUGAUUUUAAUUCAAAGUUGAUUAUGUUAGAAGAUUGCACUAAUAAUUGG
rnacentral:lncRNA from 1 species